ACCGAGAAGUCGUCCGUGCAAAUCGAACCGUUUUGAAACCAAAUAGCUAGCCUAUUACCCCAAACCCAACAAACCC
rnacentral:tRNA from 1 species